rnacentral:misc_RNA from 1 species
UCCGGUUUGUCACCGGCGGUCUCCUUAGAGUUCCCACCAUUACGUGCUGGCAACUAAGGACAAGGGUUGCGCUCGUUGCGGGACUUAACCCAACAUCUCACGACACGAGCUGACGACAGCCAUGCAGCACCUGUGUUCGAGUUCCCGAAGGCACCAAUCCAUCUCUGGAAAGUUCUCGACAUGUCAAGGCCAGGUAAGGUGGGGAUGACGUCUAGGAGCUCGAC